AAUGACUCACCUUUUGCAACUUUUAUGAUUCAAUCCUUAAUAAACUAUCUAAAUGAAAAAAAAUUUAACUUAAAUUUAAUACAACCUAAAGAUCUCGUAAAUAUUAAAUAAAUAAUAUUUAUGGAUCAUCAUGUUGGAAUUGUGGUCUUGAAACUACUGUUUUCGACACUACUGAAAAUCGGGCUAUUUCAUCUCUUCUGAGCAGUAGAUUAAGCACGAUUUUGCUGAGGCAUUAUUGAAAGUAAGGGCAAAUUCUUA
rnacentral:lncRNA from 1 species